GGUUAGACGAAGAAUCUAAAUAGAAUAGACUAUUAUUUAAUUAACAGUAAAUAAGAUAAAGUAAAAUUAUCUCUUUCCUUAGGUGAAAUUUAUAUAAAGAAGUGACGUAUCUUUAUCUAUUAAGAGGAGUUAAAAAAUGGAGAUAAAAAACCAGGAUUAGAUACCCUGUUAUUCUUCACUAUAAUUAAUAGGGUAGUAAAAGUUAUUCUUCAAACCCAAAGAUUUUGGCGGCAUUUUAACCAAACAGAGGAGCUUGUCUCGUAAUCGAUAAUCCUCGUUGUAUCUUACCUUUAUUUGUUUAGCUUGUAUACCUCCGUUGUCAGAUUACUCUAAAAGGAUGUUUUCUGAAAAAAUAAUUUUUUUACUUCAGGUCAAGGUGCAGUUUAUGUAAAGGUAUAGAUGAGCUACAAUUUUUAAAAAAAUACGAAUAUUUAAUUAAAAUUUAAUUGAAGGUGGAUUUGUUAGUAAAUUUUUUUAAGAAAAAUUAAUUGAAUA
rnacentral:rRNA from 1 species